UGAAUACGAGAUGCUACGGCGUCGAAGCAGUGUAUGUCAGACUUCCAAGAAAAGCUCGCAAUGUCAUAAAUAAAGAAUGCCUGUACCAUAACCGACACAGGUGGGUAGGUAGAGUAUACUAAGGGGCGCGAGAUAACUCUCUCUAAGGAACUCGGCAAAAUAACUCCGUAACUUCGGGAGAAGGAGUGCCUUCUUUAAGAAGGUUGCAAUAACAAGAUCCAAGCAACUGUUUAUCAAAAACACAGGUCUCCGCUAAGUCGUAAGACGAUGUAUGGGGGCUGACGCCUGCCCAGUGCCAGAAGGUUAAAGAAGUUGGUUAGCUUUUGCGAAGCUGAUGACUGAAGCCCUGGUGAACGGCGGCCGUAACAAUAACGGUCCUAAGGUAGCGAAAUUCCUUGUCGGGUAAGUUCCGACCCGCACGAAAGGCGUAAUGAUUUGGAUACUGUCUCGGAGAGGGACUCGGUGAAAUAGACUUGUCUGUGAAGAUGCGGACUACCUGCACCAGGACAGAAAGACCCUAUGAAGCUUUACUGUAACUUGAAAUUGAAAUUGGACUUUAUUUGCGCAGUAUAGGUGGAAGGCGUUGAAAGUAAUCUUGCGGGAUUAGUGGAGCCAUCAGUGAGAUACCACUCCUAUAAUGUUAGAUUUCUAACUUUGGAUCAUGAUCUGGUCAAAGAACAGUUUCAGGCGGGCAGUUUGACUGGGGCGGUCGCCUCCCAAAUGGUAACGGAGGCGUACAAAGGUUUCCUCUGAACGGGUAGAAAUCGUAUCUAGAGUGUAAAGGCAUAAGGAAGCUUGACUGUGAGACCUACAAGUCGAGCAGGGACGAAAGUCGGUCUUAGUGGUCUGACGGUGCUGAGUGGAAAGGCCGUCACUCAACGGAUAAAAGUUACUCUAGGAUAACAGGCUGAUCUCCCCCAAGAGUUCACAUCGACGGGGAGGUUUGGCACCUCGAUGUCGGCUCAUCGCAUCCUGGGGCGGUAGUACGUCCCAAGGGUUGGGCUGUUCGCCCAUGAAAGCGGUACGCGAGCUGGGUUCAGAACGUCGUGAGACAGUUCGGUCCAUAUCCGGUGUAGGCGUUAGAAUAUUGAGAGGAGCCUUCUUUAGUACGAGAGGACCGAGAAGGACAUACCUCUGGUGUACCAGUUAUCGUGCCAACGGUAAACGCUGGGUAGCUAUGUAUGGAGAGGAUAACCGCUGAAAGCAUCUAAGUGGGAAGCCCACCUCAAGAUGAGUAUUCU
rnacentral:rRNA from 1 species